rnacentral:rRNA from 1 species
AUUGAACGCUGGUGGCAGGCUUAACACAUGCAAGUCGAACGGUAACAGGAAUUAGCUUGCUAAUUUGCUGACGAGUGGCGGACGGGUGAGUAAUGCUUGGGAAUCUGGCUUAUGGAGGGGGAUAACUACGGGAAACUGUAGCUAAUACCGCGUAAAAUCUUCGGAUUAAAGGGUGGGACUUUCGAGCCACCUGCCAUAAGAUGAGCCCAAGUGGGAUUAGGUAGUUGGUUAGGUAAAGGCUGACCAAGCCGACGAUCUCUAGCUGGUUUGAGAGGAUGACCAGCCACACUGGAACUGAGACACGGUCCAGACUCCUACGGGAGGCAGCAGUGGGGAAUAUUGCACAAUGGGGGGAACCCUGAUGCAGCCAUGCCGCGUGAAUGAAGAAGGCCUUCGGGUUGUAAAGUUCUUUCGGUGACGAGGAAGGUUGAUAGGUUAAUAGCCUAUCAAAUUGACGUUAAUCACAGAAGAAGCACCGGCUAACUCCGUG